rnacentral:rRNA from 1 species
AACCAACAGGGAUUGCCUCAGUAACGGCGAGUGAAGCGGCAACAGCUCAAAUUUGAAAUCUGGCGGCCUCUGGGCCGUCCGAGUUGUAAUUUGAAGAGGAUGCUUUUGGCGAGGCGCCUUCCGAGUGCCCUGGAACGGGACGCCACAGAGGGUGAGAGCCCCGUAUGGUUGGACGCCGAGCCUCUGUAAAGCUCCUUCGACGAGUCGAGUAGUUUGGGAAUGCUGCUCAAAAUGGGAGGUAAACCCCUUCUAAAGCUAAAUACUGGCCAGAGACCGAUAGCGCACAAGUAGAGUGAUCGAAAGAUGAAAAGCACUUUGAAAAGAGAGUUAAAUAGCACGUGAAAUUGUUGAAAGGGAAGCGCUUGCGACCAGACUUGUGCCCGUCGAAUCAGCCGCCGCUCGCCGGCGGCGCACUUCGGCGGGCUCAGGCCAGCAUCAGUUCGCUGCAGGGGGAGAAAGGCGGCGGGAAUGUGGCUCUUCGGAGUGUUAUAGCCCGCCGCGCAAUACCCCUCGGCGGACUGAGGACCGCGCAUCUGCAAGGAUGCUGGCGUAAUGGUCGUCAGCGACCCGUCUUGAAACACGGACCAAGGAGUCGUCCUAAUAUGCGAGUGUUCGGGUGUAAAACCCCUGCGCGUAAUGAAAGUGAACGGAGGUGAGAGCUUCGGCGCAUCAUCGACCGAUCCUGAUGUUCUCGGAUGGAUUUGAGUAAGAGCAUAUUGGGCCGGACCCGAAAGAAGGUGAACUAUGCCUGUAUAGGGUAAAGCCAGAGGAAACUCUGGUGGAGGCUCGCAGCGGUUCUGACGUGCAAAUCGAUCGUCAAAUAUGGGCAU